rnacentral:rRNA from 1 species
GAUGAACGCUGGCGGCGUGCCUAAUACAUGCAAGUCGAGCGAACGGACGAGAAGCUUGCUUCUCUGAUGUUAGCGGCGGACGGGUGAGUAACACGUGGAUAACCUACCUAUAAGACUGGGAUACUUCGGGAAACCGGAGCUAAUACCGGAUAAUAUUUUGAACCGCAUGGUUCAAAAGUGAAAGACGGUCUUGCUGUCACUUAUAGAUGGAUCCGCGCUGCAUUAGCUAGUUGGUAAGGUAACGGCUUACCAAGGCAACGAUGCAUAGCCGACCUGAGAGGGAGAUCGGCCACACUGGAACUGAGACACGGUCCAGACUCCUACGGGAGGCAGCAGUAGGGAAUCUUCCGCAAUGGGCGAAAGCCUGACGGAGCAACGCCGCGUGAGUGAUGAAGGUCUUCGGAUCGUAAAACUCUGUUAUUAGGGAAGAACAUAUGUGUAAGUAACUGUGCACAUCUUGACGGUACCUAAUCAGAAAGCCACGGCUAACUACGUG